rnacentral:misc_RNA from 1 species
GGCCCACUCCAGACCAUUCAUUCUGCCAUUUCUGGAUCAGUUCAUGGGCUAACUUUGGAUUCCUCACUGCCAUAACAACAUGAGCCCCUGACUCUGCCAAUUGCCUGGCGAUUUCAGAGCCGAUACCGCUGGUGGAUCCAGUAACAAUGCAAGUGAGGUCGUUGACGGGAGGCAAAGGAAGAGGGUUUUCCAAGUGACUAGCCAUGAUUCUCUGAAACAGCAUCUCGUGUAUCACAUACGUCCAUCCCCUUAGCCACUCUAUCCACCCCAAUCCCUCCUUUUUCGUCGACGAUGAUGAUUCUGACCGAGGCGACGUCGUUGCCAUCCCUUGAAGCUUGGAGAGUUUAGAUCCCUACUCUCUUUCUCUCUCUUUCUUUCCCAGUUCAGUGUUGAGUGUGCUUGAGCUGGAAGAUGAGCGCCAAGC